rnacentral:rRNA from 1 species
GGGGAAUCUUGCGCAAUGGGGGAAACCCUUACGCAGCAAUACCGCGUGAGUGAAGAAGGUUUUCGGAUCGUAAAGCUCUGUUAUUAGGGAAGAAUAAUGACGGUACCUAAUGAGGAAGUCCCGGCUAACUACGUGCCAGCAGCCGCGGUAAUACGUAGGGGACGAGCGUUGUCCGGAAUGACUGGGCGUAAAGGGCGCGUAGGCGGUUUAUUAAGUCUGAUGUGAAAGGUACCGGCUCAACCGGUGAAGUGCAUUGGAAACUGGUAGAACUUGAGUAUUGGAGAGGCAAGUGGAAUUCCCAGUGUAGCGGUGAAAUGCGUAGAUAUUAGGAGGAACACCGGUGGCGAAGGCGGCUUGCUGGACAAAUACUGACGCUGAGGUGCUAAAGCGUGGGGAGCAAACA